rnacentral:rRNA from 1 species
UAGGGAAUCUUCGGCAAUGGACGAAAGUCUGACCGAGCAACGCCGCGUGAGUGAAGAAGGUUUUCGGAUCGUAAAACUCUGUUGUUAGAGAAGAACAAGGACGUUAGUAACUGAACGUCCCCUGACGGUAUCUAACCAGAAAGCCACGGCUAACUACGUGCCAGCAGCCGCGGUAAUACGUAGGUGGCAAGCGUUGUCCGGAUUUAUUGGGCGUAAAGCGAGCGCAGGCGGUUUCUUAAGUCUGAUGUGAAAGCCCCCGGCUCAACCGGGGAGGGUCAUUUGAAACUGGGAGACUUGAGUGCAGAAGAGGAGAGUUGAAUUUCAUUUGUAGCGGUGAAAAGCGUAGAUAUAAGGAGGAACACCCGUUGCGAAGGGCGCUCUUUUGUCUUUAACCGACGCUGAGGCCUGAAAGGCGGGGGAGCAAACAGG